rnacentral:hammerhead_ribozyme from 1 species
GCACUACUGAGGAGUCCCAUAAUAGGACGAAACGGCUUUCCAGUGC